GCGGGUAUGGUAUAGAGGCUGUGCCUCAGUUUUCCAAACUGAAGAGGACGGUUCGACUCCGUUUACCCGCUCCA
rnacentral:tRNA from 1 species